GAUGAACGCUAGCUACAGGCUUAACACAUGCAAGUCGAGGGGAAACGGCAUUGAGUGCUUGCACUCUUUGGACGUCGACCGGCGCACGGGUGAGUAACGCGUAUCCAACCUUCCCAUUACUGUGGGAUAACCUGCCGAAAGGCAGACUAAUACCGCAUAGUCUUCGAUGACGGCAUCAGAUUUGAAGUAAAGAUUUAUCGGUAAUGGAUGGGGAUGCGUCUGAUUAGCUUGUUGGCGGGGUAACGGCCCACCAAGGCUACGAUCAGUAGGGGUUCUGAGAGGAAGGUCCCCCACAUUGGAACUGAGACACGGUCCAAACUCCUACGGGAGGCAGCAGUGAGGAAUAUUGGUCAAUGGACGGAAGUCUGAACCAGCCAAGUAGCGUGCAGGAUGACGGCCCUAUGGGUUGUAAACUGCUUUUGUAUGGGGAUAAAGUUAGGGACGUGUCCCUAUUUGCAGGUACCAUACGAAUAAGAACCGGCUAAUUCCGUG
rnacentral:rRNA from 1 species